ACCUGUUUACAUUGGGGAACCCUGAAAUGUGGUGAGCCCGGGGCAUGCAGGAUGUACAAUAUAAAUAACUUCAGGGUCUAGUGGCCUCAUGAAUGCAACUUGUCUCAGUCAAGAGAUUUUGAUACAAACCCACUGAGAGUGUCACUAAGGCAGAGGAUGUUGCCACACAGAAGUAACUGGAGCUCUUACCCCUAAGAACCAAGAGACUAGAGAGCCGGCCCUCUGAGAUUCAGGCGCAUUUACCUAGUGUUGCCUGCAGCUCUUAGAGGAUCAAGCUAUCUCCCUGCACUCUUCAUUCUGAUACUUAUGAGGAAAUUCCAGUUCCCUGGGGAAAUCGACUCUUCAGAAACUGAACUUGCAGAGAUGAAGAUCACAGUGAAGAAAAGUGAGUGCACAGAUGUGCAUGGAAGUCCUCAGGUCGAGAAUGACGGAGAACUGAAAACGAGGCUGUAAUGAGUUUUCUACUGCCCUGUGCAAGAUCAUGAACAGAAUGCAUACUUCAUGUCCUUUGCGUCACGAGAAGCACUAGAGCAACUCUUUGAUGCUCUCAGAUGCACUCUGGCAUUCAGGUGCAUCAAGUUGUGUGUCGUUUCAUGCUGCUACUUGGGGUAUUUUAGGAGUAUUUUUCUAAAAUAUAUCAGGGCUGGAUA
rnacentral:lncRNA from 1 species